rnacentral:lncRNA from 1 species
AUCAAACUUAAUUUUGAUUAUUUUUUAAAAUGUGUUCUUUUUAAACAGUAGAGUGUAUUUUGACAUACAUACAUGGAGUAUUACUUAUUCUAGGAUCCCAUUCUUAUGGUUGUACAUGAUGUGGAGUUUCACAUGAAUUAGGAAAGAUUCAUUCUGCUGUCUUUACUAUUCCUAUCCCUCCUCCCUUCCCAUCAUUCUCCUCUGUCUAAUCAAUUGAACUUCUAUUCUCCCCACCCCACUUAUUGUAUGUUAAUAUUCACAUAUCAGAGAGAACAUUCGGCUUUUGGCUUUUAUGGGACUGGCUUAUUUCUCUUAGCAUGUUAGUCUCUAGAUCUAUCCAUUUACUGGUAAAAGCCAUAAAGCCAUUCUUUUUUAUGACUAAUAUUUCAUUGUGUAUAUAUACCAUUUUCUUUAUCCAUUCAUCUGUUGAAGGGCACCUAGGUUGGUUCCAUAGCUUGACUAUUGUGAAUUGAGCUGCUAUAAACAUUGAUGUGGCUGUGUCACUAUAGUAUGCUGAUUUUAACUCCUUUGAGCAUAUACUAAGGAGUGGGAUAACUGAGUCAAAUGGUGGUUCCAUUUCAAAACUUUUUUGUUGUUGUUGUUUUUUGAGGAGGGGGUAUUGGGGAUUGAACUCAGGAGCACUCAACCACUGAGCCACAUCCCCAGCCCUACUUUGUAUUUUAAAUAGAGACAGAGUCUCACUGAGUUGCUUAAUGUCUCACAAUUGCUAAGGCUGGCUUUGAACUCCCAAUUCUCCUGUCUCAGCCUCCUGAGCUGCUGGGAUUACAAGUGUUCACCCGGCUCCAUUCCAAGUUUUUUGAGGAAUUUCCAUACUGCUAUCCAUAGUGGAUGCACCAAUUUGCAGUCCCACCAGAAAUGUAUGAGUGAGCCUUUUUCCCCACAUCUUCACUAACAUUUAAUGUUGCUUGUAUUCUUGAUAAUUGCCAUUCUGACUGGAGAUGGAAUCUCAGUGUAGUUUUAAUUUGCAGUUCUCUAAUUGCUAGAGAUGUUGAACAUUUUUUCACAUAUUUGUUGACCAUUUAUAUUUCUUCUGUGAAGUGCCUAUUUAGUUCCUUUGCCCGUUUCUUGAUUGGGUUAUCUGGGGUUUUGUUUGUUUGUUUGUUGUUUUGUUUUUUUUUCUUUCUUUUUCUUUUCUUUCUUUCCUUCUUUUUUUUUUGGUGUUAAUUUUUUUUAGUUCUUUGUAUAUCCUUGAGAUUAAUGCUCCACUUGAGAUACAGAUGGCAAAGAUGUUCUCCCAUUCUGUAGGCUCUCUGUUCACAUUAUUGUUUCUUUUGCUGUGAAGCAUCUUUUAAUUUUGAUACCAUCCCAUUUAUUGAUUCUUGGUUUUACUUCUUGUGCUUUGAAAUCUUCUUGAGGAAGUCAGUUCCUAAGCUGACAUGGUGGUGAAGAUUUAGUCC